CCUACGGGUGGCAGCAGUGGGGAAUAUUGCGCAAUGGGCGCAAGCCUGACCCAGCAACGCCGCGUGAAGGAUGAAGGCUUUCGGGUUGUAAACUUCUUUUCUCAGGGACGAAGCAAGUGACGGUACCUGAGGAAUAAGCCACGGCUAACUACGUGCCAGCAGCCGCGGUAAUACGUAGGUGGCAAGCGUUAUCCGGAUUUACUGGGUGUAAAGGGCGUGUAGGCGGGACUGCAAGUCAGAUGUGAAAACUACGGGCUCAACCUGUAGCCUGCAUUUGAAACUGUAGUUCUUGAGUAAUGGAGAGGCAGACGGAAUUCCCGGUGUAGCGGUGGAAUGCGUAGAUAUUGGGAGGAACACCAGUGGCGAAGGCGGUCUGCUGGACAGCAACUGACGCUGAGGCGCGAAAGCGUGGGGAGCAAACAGGAUUAGAUACCCGUGUAGUC
rnacentral:rRNA from 1 species